CAUCACCAAGCCCAAUCUUUUCACCCUACCCCUCGCCAUCAGCACCACCUCCUCACUGGGAAACCUUUGAUCAAUGGGGAAACCAAGUCCUGAGGGAAGCUGACAAAGCAGUGGAAACCUCUACUUCAAUCCCCACAAGAAUCAACGAGGAUCCUGACCAAUACCUUCCGUUAGACCCUGACUCAAAGGAUGAAGAUUGGCCUGAAUUGCUAACUGACUCUUGGUGUUAUAACCCAGCAUAUAUACCAAGACAAGCAGAUGCUGUCGGUACCUGCCUGUAUCUUCUUAAGUUGGUCAUUUCAUCGUACACUGGCCUGACUUCUGAAUGCCGGCACCUGCAUCUAAUUGCCUGAGAACUCUGGCUGCUGGAGCCCACUCUGCCUUCAAAACAGUCUAGAAGUGACAAAGAAUUCCUUCCUCCCAGCAGGAGCCCUCUGCUCAAUCACAGGCAGGAGUUGGACCGUGGCCCUCCCCAGACCAGUUAGCCAGGACCUCCUCGCAAUCCUGCCUCAAGAGAGGUCAGAUACUUCACAUGGGCACAGAUAUCAAAGAACUCUUUAAGUUUUAAAAUAGGCUUUUGGAAUUUGGGACUAAGACAAUGCUUCAAUAGAAAGGGUUUUAGAAUUCACAAAGCUUACCCUUGACUUGUAUGCUGAAAGUAAAACACAGAAGAACCCAGG
rnacentral:lncRNA from 1 species